UUUGUUAGAGGCUAAGUUGUCUCACCGAUAUAGCUAAGAUUAUCUUACUAAUUAAUAGAGCAGAUAGUGUGCUAUUUUUUUAAAAAAAAAGAAAGAAAAGAUAAUUGCCUAUAUACCCCUCAUGCGUCUGGAAAUAUCCGAUCUAUUCCUAUUUCUUUUCUUUUUUUCUAAAAUGCCCUUCAUAUGUUCCAUCGUUAUUCCAAAAUAUUUCCGUAGUUAUCCCCUGUUAGCUUAACUCGAAUUAAACAUGGGUUAAAUGUAUACUAGAGUUAAAACCUAUAUAAAAUACAUAUUUUACCCCUACCUUAUUAUGCUAAUCCCUUAAGUUAUCCUUUUUGUCUCCCAACUUGAUCGCCGGCUCCUCCGCCUCCACCUCGCCUCAUCUCUUCCCAAACCACCACCACCUUCCACACCUCCACCUCCAACACCACCCCUCUCGUCGCUCUCGUCGUCCUCCUCCUCCGCCGCUCUCGUCGUCAUCGUCGUCCUCCUCCAGCGCAGCCUUGGCCGGC
rnacentral:lncRNA from 1 species